rnacentral:rRNA from 1 species
CAUAAUCAAUAGUCUUUUAAUUGGAGACUGGAAUGAACGGCUAGAUAAAAAGUUUACUGUCUAUAUAAUAAAUCUUGAAUUUUACUUUUAAGUGAAAAGGCUUAAAUAUAUUAAAGUGACGAUAAGACCCUAUAAAACUUUAUAAUAAAUUAUGAUUAUCUUAAAUUUUAAAUCAAAAUAUAUUUCAUAUAUUACUAUUUAGUUGGGGCGACUGAGAUAUAAAAAAUCUGUCUUUAGUAAAAAAUACUUAUAAUUAGAUCAAGAUCCUUUAUUAAGGAUUAAAAGGCUAAGUUACUUUAGGGAUAACAGCGUGAUUUUUCUUAAGAGUUCUUAUCGACAG